UAUUACAACACAGACGAUGAGCGAGA
rnacentral:piRNA from 1 species